rnacentral:tRNA from 1 species
GCAUUGCUGGGGUAGUGGUAACCUGGGUCGUUGCCAUCUCGUCUAGCUCGACCCGCCCCGUGUUCGAUUCACGGGCAAUGCA